rnacentral:rRNA from 1 species
UACGAAGGACCCGAGCGUUAUCCGGAUUUAUUGGGUUUAAAGGGUGCGUAGGCGUCCUGGAAAGUUACGGUUGAAAUCUCCUUGCUCAACAAGGAGACUGGCCGUAAAACUAUCAGGAUUGAGUACAUUUGAAGCGGGCGGAAUGUGUCAUGUAGCGGUGAAAUGCUUAGAUAUGACACAGAACACCAAUUGCGAAGGCAGCUCGCUAAACUGUAACUGACGCUGAGGCACGAAAGCGUGGGGAUCAAACAGG